rnacentral:sRNA from 1 species
ACUGCGACGGCUUAUUG